GUGUGUAGAGAAAGACGAGACAAGCGGGACGCUCGAGAGACAGCAAUAGUUAAAAGUUCUUUGUUUUACAACUUUCAGCCAAGUUUUGUGCCAUGGUUUGUCGAUAAGAGAAGCAAUUGUGAGUGGGUGAUUAGUGUGAAAAGACAGUAGUUCCAAAGAGGAGCCGUGGACUGUGCUUUUGGCGCUAAUUAGUAGCACAUCGAGCUUGUAGCAAAACAACCUCGCUCAAAGACGGUACGCUGGAUGUCGUCCACACGGGGGGAAUCACGGAGCUUGCAGUGGGUCGUUACCGAACUGGACAGCGAGACAAGACGCACUCUGAGUGCCCGCGACGCUCAGAGUACCUCUGGCUACGUGGGAGACGGAGAGGAGAGGUUUUGGACUGGAAGGUACAGCGCACCUGUUCCGCCUUUGAAGUCACGCUGAAAACUGGGAGCACGCUUUGUUGGGAAAACACGAGAACGACACGGAGCUGGACAGGACACGUAAUUAACCCACUGGACACAAGGGUCCUCCAGGUACUCACGACAGAGAUUAAGGACACAGUGACGAGAAUUGAUGAGGCCUUUUGAAAAGACGGAAUGCAAAUGACUUCCUUUUUCUAACCAGCAGGGGGAGCUAUUGCCAUAAAUAUAACUAGACAAAACAACAGAAUGGUAUAAAGAAAGAUGCAGAGAGUAGAAGAAGAGGAGCUAAAGGUGUCCUUCAGUCUUCAUCGCUGGACAGACA